UGUUGGCUUCGCUAACUCAUCCUAAUCUCCACGUUUCCUCAUACGUCCAACGUGGUGGUUUCCCCUUUUGCCUUUUACCUUUCGCUUUCCUGUGUCUCGCCCGCGUGGCCGGUCGCCGCUCCGCCGCUCCCGCGCUCUGUCGCCGCCCCGCGCGCGCAACCCAAUCGUCUGGCUUCGACGCAGAGCAGCGGAGGAACGGAUCCCAAAGCGGAGAGAGCGACACGUCAGACUCGUGGCAGCGACCACCCGGCGAAAGAUAAAAAAGAAUAACGAAUUUUCAAGAAGGGCAUAGUAACGGCGUUAACGUGGGUGACGUCGUCGUCGCGGAUGUGGCGAGGCCGCGAGGCAUCGCGCUCGGACGCCCCUUGGAAGCGAAGCGAAGUGUAUUAAUUGGCCCCAAGCGGCCUUCUCUCUCUCUCUCUCUCUCUCUCUCACGCUAUCUCUCGAUCUGUUUCUCCAGCGGCCUUAUAUCUUGCUUUGUACUCCUAUUGGUAUCCCGAUCUAGCGGAAACGUUCAAGGUGGUGAUGAGGUUCGGUGGAACCGGUGGUGCAGAAUUGCGAUGGGAACUCGUGAGGAUCGCUGCUUCUUUCCUCUCACGAGUUUGCAGAUUGGGUAAGAACUAGUAUUGAGGUGUUCUUGGUUCCGUAUGGUUUUCUAGAAACGGUUUUGUUAUCGCUCCCCUGUCUCUACCCCUAAAUCAACUUCAUUUGGUAAGAUUAUCUAGUUGACAUAUUGGACUGAUAUGUGAAAUAUGAACGCUAGAAGCAUGGAUUUAAUGGGAAAGAAGAUGGGGAAAAUUUCGACUCUAGGUUACAAAAUUGUGAGAGAAGAAAUCGUAGUUCCGUGAAAUCUUUAUGUAGUUUAUAACCUUAUAUAAACACCUUCCGUGGAAUUAGUAGUGUCCUUUGAUGGUAUCCGUGUCAUUUGAACCUGGAUGUUUCUAAUACGCUCUUAUUGACCUCCAUCACAAGAUGUCAACAGAUGGUGCAUAGGAUCCCUGCUAGAAGUAGAACCACCCACUUGUCACCUAUUCUAGAUCAGAAGUAGUCUAGCCUGGUUGCUCUGUUGGCGAUGACAUUCCCCUUAUUUGAUCAGAUUCUUGGUGAAAUCCUGCUAGUGGCAUGAUCUGCACAGUCUCCUCCCAAGCAAUAGGUCAUCAAGAAAGAACAAAAAAUAGACAAUUGAAAUUGCAUCAUGAAGAUAUAUCUAUUUCUUUUUCUCAAUUUUUUCUUCUUUUUUCUUGGUGGCAUACUGAAUUGGUACUUGUCAAUAUCCCCCUAUGGUGAGGUAAAUUGUAGGUUGGACUAGGGAAUGGUAUGGGCUGUCUUGCUGAUAAGGCAAUGUUUAUAUGAUGGUUGAUUAAGUAUUUUUUUUAUUGAAUCGUCUCAUUUACAACAAUACUCUCUGUUUAGAAUGAUUACAGAUAUAUCUUAAAUAACUCAUUUACAUGUUCAUUUUUUUGGGUUUCAUGGAUUAUCAUCAAUAUUGUUUUUAAAACUCGAAUGGCAUCAUGAAAUAGUAUGCCAUCAGAUAAUCGGGGUGUCGUGUGGACAUAUAUAUGAGACAUAUGAGCAAUGUUAUGUAAAACAUAUGCAUUAUAAAGAGGGUUUGAUAGAUUAAUAAGCCAAUGUAUCCAUGGUUGUUGCUAUUUCUUUAGAGACAAAUAUUUCUAAAUAUGAUUUAUCAAAAGAAAACUACAUUUUGAUAUGUUGCAUUUGUCAAAACUUUUCAGUAUCCUGAUCCUCUUUUAUCAUUUAGCAAUGUAUUUGUAGUAAUCAAGCAAUAACAGGUUAGUUGUUAGGCCCCAGAUCCGGUGCUUAAGCUACUGCGUAGCUUGGAGGCCCUUUGAGUGCCAAGGGAAGGGUGUGCUGACAAACCCUUUUGCUAAUGCUGGCUUGUCCUGGUUAAUAUGGAUCUCAUGUUGACCAUGCUAAUUGGCAUAUACUGUGGCAACAAUGCAUUGUGAUCAUCUGUUUGCUCGAGUUUAAUUCUUAAUUCAAGAGUCUCAGUAACUGUACUUUGUGAAUUCCCAUCUCAAACAGCAAUUUAAGAUUCCAGGAAUGGUACCUAGUGAAUUCUCAUCUCAAACAGCAAUCCAAUUUUCCUCAUUGAA